rnacentral:rRNA from 1 species
GACGUAGGGCGCGAGCGUUGUCCGGAUUUAUUGGGCGUAAAGAGCUUGUCGGCGGUCUGUCGCGUCUGCUGUGAAAAUCCGGGGCUCAACCCCGGACUUGCAGUGGGUACGGGCAGACUAGAGUGUGGUAGGGGAGACUGGAAUUCCUGGUGUAGCGGUGAAAUGCGCAGAUAUCAGGAGGAACACCGAUGGCGAAGGCAGGUCUCUGGGCCACUACUGACGCUGAGAAGCGAAAGCAUGGGGAGCGAACAGG